rnacentral:rRNA from 1 species
AUUAGUAUUGUUAAAAUUUAAUAUAUAUGAAUUCGGCAAUUAUAAAUUUUGUCUGUUUAAUAAAAACAUAUUUUUUUGAUAUCUUAUUUAAAAUAAGACCUGCCCAAUGACUUUUGUUAAAUGGCUGCAGUAUUUUGACUGUACUAAGGUAGCAUAAUCAUUUGUUUAAUAAUUUUAGACUUGAAUGAAAGGUUUGACUAGAUUUAAUCUUUUUUUAUAUUAUUAAUAARAAUUUAAUUUAUUAAUUAAAAAGUUAAUAUAUUUUUAUUGGACGAAAAGACCCUAUAGAACUUAAUAUCUAAGUAAAUAACUUAUUUUCUUAGAUAUUAUAUUGGGGGGAUAGAAAUUACUAUAAACAAUUUUUUUAUUUUUCAUUUAUUUAUGAUUUUUUGAUCCAAUUAUUUUGAUUAUAAGAUGAAGUUACCUUAGGGAUAACAGCGUAAUUUGUUUGGAGAGUUCUUAUUGAAAAACCAAGUUUGCGACCUCGAUGUUGAAUUAAGAUUAAAAUUUAGGGGUAGAUUUUUAUUAUUUUUGGUCUGUUCGACCAGUAAUUUCUUACAUGAUUUGAGUUUAGACCGGUGUAAGCCAGGUCGGUUUUUAUCCUUAAUAUGAGAUUAUUAUUUUUUAGUACGAGAGGACCAAAAAUAAGUUAAUAAGUUA